rnacentral:lncRNA from 1 species
AUGGUUUGUCAUUUCCUUCUACAGCUCAUUUUACAGAUGAAGAAGCUAAGUCCAAGGUCCCAGAGAGUGACUUCCUCAAGGCAACACAGAAAAGGCAACAUUCAAUUUUGGGAGAGAAGGAAGGAGAUAAUUUAUGAAGAGACAAAAGGUAUCCCCUCAUUUUCAAGUAAAAAGCAAAUUCAAAAGUAUUAUAUAUUUUAUAAUUUUGCCAGUAAUUGAAGUCAAGCUUAAUAUAUUAUAGUUUGCAGACUCUAUUUUGUUCUUUUUUUUGAAAUUUUAUUUCUUAUUCUCCAAUUCUUUAUAAUCAUACCUGUUCUCCAUGAUCUUUCAAAUAUUAUAUUAUAAAUUUUAUUAUAUUAUAAUAUUAUAGAUUCUUUUUUCAAAGAAUGUACUCCAGGAAGUGUUAGAGAAAUCUCUCUACGUGGUCACUGCUCAGCUCGCAACUUCAGGAGCUCUAUAAUUUUCAUUUUAGGAAAUUACAAGGCUGGGAUGAUCCUUUCUGACCUGUGCAGAUAAAAGGAAACAAAAGUCAGAAGAAGAUAUUCAGGAACUGGAAAUCUAAGAACUUACUCCUCAAACUUGUCAUAUGUUUCUCCUAUUAGUAAUCAUUUUUCUGCUUCUUGGCAGAUGAUAGAAAGUGAGAUGUCCAUCCUCUUGUUCUGCAUUUUCCCUAGCCCCACACCCUUUGCUCCACUAUUCUUUGGACUAUAAAUUUACUAAUAAAUGUUAAUUGAUUGGUAGUGUAUGAGGAUGU